rnacentral:rRNA from 1 species
UACGUAGGGGGCAAGCGUUGUCCGGAAUCAUUGGGCGUAAAGCGCGUGUAGGCGGCUCGAUAAGUCUGCUGUGAAAGUCCAGGGCUCAACCCUGGGAUGCCGGUGGAUACUGUCGAGCUCGAGUCCGGAAGAGGCGAGUGGAAUUCCUGGUGUAGCGGUGAUAAUGCGCAGAUAGUCAGAGGAACACCAAUGGCGAAGGCAGCUCGCUGGGACGUGACUGACGCUGAGACGCGAAAGCGUGGGGAGCGAACAGG